UACGUAGGUGGCAAGCGUUGUCCGGAUUUCUUGGGCUUAAAGGGUGCGUAGGUGGCCCUGUAAGUCAGUGGUGAAAUAUCUCAGCUUAACUGAGAGGGUGCCAUUGAUACUGCAGGGCUUGAGUACAGAUGAGGUAGGCGGAAUUGACGGUGUAGCGGUGAAAUGCAUAGAUAUCGUCAAGAACACCGAUAGCGAAGGCAGCUUACCAAGCUGUAACUGACACUGAGGCACGAAAGUGUGGGGAUCAAACAGG
rnacentral:rRNA from 1 species